rnacentral:rRNA from 1 species
UCGGGAAUUUUGGGCAAUGGGGGAAACCCUGACCCAGCAACGCCGCGUGAAGGAUGAAGUAUUUCGGUAUGUAAACUUCGAAAGAAUAGGAAGAAUAAAUGACGGUACUAUUUAUAAGGUCCGGCUAACUACGUGCCAGCAGCCGCGGUAAUACGUAGGGACCAAGCGUUGUUCGGAUUUACUGGGCGUAAAGGGCGCGUAGGCGGCAUGACAAGUCACUUGUGAAAUCUCUGGGCUUAACCCAGAACGGCCAAGUGAUACUGUCGUGCUAGAGUGCAGAAGGGGCAAUCGGAAUUCUUGGUGUAGCGGUGAAAUGCGUAGAUAUCAAGAGGAACACCUGAGGUGAAGACGGGUUGCUGGGCUGACACUGACGCUGAGGCGCGAAAGCCAGGGGAGCAAACGGGAUUAGAUACCCGCGUAGUCCCUGAGCGGGCUGGCAAGGCGCAU